GACAGAGGUGCCAAGCGUUAGGCGGAAUCACUGGGCUUAAAGCGUGUAUAGGCGGGCGGGCAAGUACCUUGUGAAAUCCCACGGCUCAACCGUGGAACGGCUGGGUAUACUGCCUGUCUUGAGCCAACUAGGGGCGAGCGGAACAGACGGUGGAGCGGUGAAAUGCGUAGAUAUCGUCUGGAACGCCGAAGGUGAAAACAGCUCGCUGGGGUUGUGCUGACGCUGAGACACGAAAGCCAGGGGAGCGAACGGG
rnacentral:rRNA from 1 species